GUGCUCACGUCAACAGCACACAUACUAAUAUUGGAAGAUAGAGAAGAUUAGCAUGUCCCCCUGCACAAAUUCGUGAAGCAUUCUAUAUUUUU
ensembl:snRNA U6 U6 spliceosomal RNA